GUAAUGAGAGAAAGUCCGGGCUCCUUCGGAAAGAAUGCCGGGUAAUAACCGGGCACAAACUGGCAGCUAUAGUUCUACUUCUUGUAGUUCUGUAUAGCCCAGUGAGUGACAGAUAGUGCAACAGAAAUUGUACCGCCUGAUUUUGCGCUUGCGUACGAUCAGGUAAGGGUGAAAAGGCAGUGUAAGAGACUACCGCAGUUCUGGUAACAGGGCUGGCUUGUAAACCUCAUUCGGAGCAAGAUUAAGCAGCAGUUAUGUUAUUCCGAGCAAUACUGCGGGUAAAUCGCUGGAGCUGAAUGGUAACAUUCAGUGCGGAUAGAUGGUUAUGCCUGCUUUUUUGUUUUUACAGAAAAGUGGAGAACAGAACCCGGCUUACCGUUCCAUC
rnacentral:RNase_P_RNA from 1 species